ensembl:lncRNA
CAAUAUAAGUGCUACAAUUUGUUAGUCUUUUAGUCGAGGUAGAGUCUGAAGAGGUGAAGGGGUUCGAUGUGGCACAGGGGGUAGAGUGGGUGCGCUGGGAACCGCAAGGUUGGUGGUUUGAGUCCCGGCCGCCCUAUGUCUCAAGUCGAAGUGUCCCUGAGCAAGACACCUAACCCCUAAUUGCUCCCCAGGCAAAAAUGUAAAAGCCAUGCGUUUAAAGUGUAGUGUAAGUCGCUUUGGAUAAAAGAAUCAGCUAAAUGACCUGUAAUGUAAUGUAAUGUCUUUAGUUUGCGGCGGAAGAUGUGAAGGCUCUCCUGGCGGUCCUGGUGUCUUCAGAGAGCUCGUUCCACCAUUUUGGAGCAAGGACAACAAAGAGUCGAGAUCUAGUGGAGUGUUUUGCUCUCAGUGAGAUUUCUGAGAAGCACGAUGGGCCCCUGUCAGCCAUAACCGCAGCUGCUGAGGACAACAAGCUUGUGACAGAAGAGCAACCUAAACCCUCUGAUCCAGAAACCCAGCAGGACACAGACGAACACCACACCAAAGCUGAGGAAAAGGACACUGACCAGCAGAUUGAUGGAGAGGAAACCGGUAAGUUGGAGUCGACACCACAGAGCGAAGAUCCCAAACCAGAGGAGACACCGGAAUCAAGUGAUCCUCCCCCUCAAAACCAGGAAAAGGUGGAAGACGGGCAACGCUCCACUGAGGCUGCUGAUAGCUCGGCACCAGCUGAAAGCUCAGGUCCAGGUGAUAGCUCGGCACUAGCAGACGGCUCAGGUCCAGGUGACAACUUGGCACUAGCAGACGGCUCAGGUCCAGGUGACAACUCGGCACCAGCAGACGGCUCAGGUCCAGGUGACAACUCGGCACCAGCAGACGGCUCGGCUCCGGCUGACAGCACAGGUCCAGGUGACAGCUCGGCGCUAGCCAAUGGCUCGGCUCUGGCUGAGAGUUUGGCCACAGGCAACAGUGGCGAGGGGACGGAGUCCAGCGAGAGAACUCAAGAAGAGGCUGACAUUUCUAUGGAUGUGGAGCAGGAAGAGAAGAAAGAAGAACAAGAAGCAGACCAGUAGUGAUCGUCUAACAAUCAAUCUUUUUUUUUUAAAUGUGUUGAUUAUUCCAUUGUAGAAUAUAUGUGUAGAUUGAUACGAAUACAAAAAGCAAUAAAGAAACUGUUAUUACCAACACAUGUAUUUAAUUAUCAUUCUUAUUUAUGUAUCUCUGUCCCAGUUAUUCCUGCAACACAUGCAAUAAUGCAGAUUACAACACUGAUUGACUCAUUAUAUUGUACAAGCUCUCCACAUUGAGGCCACGUGUGAUGUUUUGAAAGAAUGACUGUGCACAUUCCCUCCAGUGACCGUUGACCUGAAGGAGGAGGACCAACAGCGCUUGUGCAAAAUGACAGUUACGUAUUUCAUGUUUUACUCCGGUAUCAGCCGUGCAGACUGCAUGUCUGUGCCGCUUAUCACACGCAGCUGCGUCACAUCACGUCGUCUGAUAGAUAUCUCGGUGCCAAACAAAGCUGGGGUUUACUUUUUUGGGGGGAGGAACACCAGCUGUAGGUGGGAUUUAAACGCGCGUUGAUCCGCGGCGCGUUCACACAGCAGCAGCAGCCGCACCCCGUGGUGCUUUGACCGGGGCGGAGGGGAGAGACGGAGACGGAGAUGCAGCCGCAGACGGGAAUCAUCGGCAGCGCGGUGGCUGCAGGCUGCGGCCUCUUCGCAGCGACCAUGAACUUCUUCACCGACAUGUUUCUGACUCCACCGCUGAAGGCAACGCUCAGAAGUUUGGAGGAGGCUGAGCUGAAAACUUUGAAAGGAGGUAACUUGUUUAAGACGUUAUGUGAGGGUUUAUGAUUUCAUAAUCUGGUUUAAGGGGGGUGAAGC